UUCAGUUGUAAAAACGACGGAA
rnacentral:miRNA from 1 species